UACGAAGGGGGCUAGCGUUGCUCGGAAUUACUGGGCGUAAGGCGCACGUAGGCGGUCUUUCAAGUCGGGGGUGAAAUCCUGGAGCUCAACUCCAGAACUGCCUUCGAUACUGGAAGACUUGAGUCCGGGAGAGGUGAGUGGAACUGCGAGUGUAGAGGUGAAAUUCGUAGAUAUUCGCAAGAACACCAGUGGCGAAGGCGGCUCACUGGCCCGGUACUGACGCUGAGGUGCGAAAGCGUGGGGAGCAAACAGG
rnacentral:rRNA from 1 species